AGAAAUUAUUUACAAACAUUGUUUUAAUAUGAAAUUUUUUAUUUUACAGUGCAGUCUGUAUCUCAAACGUUAACGAAAAUUGUUUUGUGUCAGAGCCAGAAAUUUAAUGCACGCCAGCGAAUUUCAUAAUUCAUAAAAGAAUUAUAAAUCCAUCAGCAAGUUAGUUAAUUGGGACAAAUUGGAAAUAAAAGCAAAGGAGAUUGAAUAUGUCAUUUACUAAGAACAGCUUUUAAAAAUGGUCUAGCUUUAAAAUUAAACUAGGCAGGAAGAGGACAAAAAUUGGAAUAGAAAAAAUGUUGAUUGCGUAUGUCGCUAUUGAAGCGAUGAGGUCGAAUAAGCAUAGCGUAGGCAGGCAUGUAAUAGAGAUGAUGGAAGAAAAGCUGAUAAUUGUGGGCAUCAAAUAUCAUUAGCUAAACACGAUUCAAUCACAACUAUAUUAUUCAAUAUCUAAACUACUUCAUAAAUUUUAUAGGGAAUUUUUUAUUUAAAAAUUGUGUUAGUUUUUGGUUUAUGUUUAGAGUUUGCAAUAUGUAUAAUUAACAGAAAAAUUAUGUAAAUUAAAUAAAUAGAUUCUUAUACUUGCACCUUA